CUUCCCAUGCAUGUCUUUAAAGUCACUUUAAGGAAAAAGUGACUUUAAAAGUGUCUAUUCCUUAGGAUGUAUGUGUAUAUAUGUGUAUGAGACUUGUUUUAAGUACAUGAGAUGAUAAUGCCAAUACUUCUUAAAAGUCCUUCUCUGAUUGUUUUUGGUGGAUUUGAGAUAUAAGAUUGAUCAAUUUGUAACCUCAUAGGUUCUUCCUUUAGCCUUUUUAAUGUGGGUUUCUGUUCAUGGUGAAACACUUUAGGCUCUCAGUUUUUCCUUGAAAUUUUAAAAUAUCCCUGGUGAGUGACAUCUAUUUGAAUCAAUUUAUCUUCAACUUAUUUUUCAAAGCAAAUUGGAAAAGUAUCAAUAUUAGCCAAUAUUUUCUCUGGAACUGCAAUCUGCUUAUUUCAGGAAAGGAGCAGAAGAAAUAAAUUAGUAUUUAUUGAGCACUGUGAGUCAGAUGUGCUCUUGUAUGCAAAUUAGAUUUCAUUUUGGCAACAUUUAAGUCAUUGUGCGGGUAUUUUUCUCUCCAUGAGGCAUCUGACUCUGGGGAGCUUGUUGCUUUGCUCCAAAGUAGUGGAGCCUGAUUCAGAUCUCCAACUUGACCUUGGAGCCCAAGUUCUUUUCAUACCAUAGUGCUUCCAUACACUGUCCCCUUCAUAGUAUAUGAGUAAGGGAAUCAUGAAAACAUUGACCUCAAUAACAUUGGAAGAGUUACACAAGGCCACCAGCUACAUUCAGCACGAUCCUGCUAGUUCUCAUGAACUCUCAAGCAUUGAAGGAUGCCACCUUUUCAAUUAUGUAUAGAAUCUUUUUUGUUCAAUUUGAAGUAGUCCAUAAAAGGUUCUGCAAAUUUUUUUUUAUCAUUUGCUUCUUCCUCUACACCCCUUUCCCUCAUGCCUCAGUCUAUCCUGAAGCAGUAGGUACCUAAGAGAAAUAUUUAUCCUCUCAGCCACCAUUGACAUCCAGAACAAGGAGAACAAGAUACUUCUAAAACUGUCCAGAAUCUUGUGUGCUGUUUACAAAAACAAAAAAAAAAAUAAGUAUUAUUUCUAAGGAAUUUGUUAAUGCAGUUUCACAAUUCCCAGCAUGAAAAACUGCAGGAAUAAAAAAAAAAAUAAAAAGGGCAAGUUAAAUAAAAAACAUGAAAUUAAAAAAUAUAUAUAUAUAAGGUUUAGUCAGUUAAAAUAUUUUUCAAUAAGAAAUCAAAACAUACUUUUUUCUUCUCCCAUAAUUCUUGCUGGUGAAAUUUCAAAGCUAAAAGAAACUAGCUACUAAGGGUGUACUAAAUUACAGAUGAGUUUAUAAUCACUCAUAUUUGGAAUGGGAAGGAGUUUAAACAGGCAUUAGUCCAAUUAUUAAUCUUGGCAAGAAUGAUUAUAUUAUUUGUCCCAGGUCACAUGUAUUAUGUGUUAUAAACAUAGUUAAAUUUGAUGAUUAAAUAGUUAUACUUCCUACAGCUAAAAAACCAUUUAGUUAAAAAUGACACAAAAUACUGUCAUUCUCAUUUUUACUUUGCAUAAAGUUUUUAUUGAAGUAUGACAAAUAUAGAGAAAAAUGUGCAGAUCACAAUUGUGCAGCUCAAUUAAUUUUCAUAAGGCAUGCAUGCAAAGUCAGCAUCCCCAAAGACCCAUUCGUUAGUCCUCCCAGUGACCACUGUUCUGACUUCUAACAGGAAAAUUUAGUUUUUUAUUUCGAGGCUAUGGAGAAGAGUUUAAUUAAGGUCUAUUUAGUUAUCACCCAGACUUGUCAAAUAUUAAUAUUCUGCCCUAUUAAAAUGCCUUUGAAUAAUACUUUAAAAUUUAUCUUUUAUAUUAUAUAGUAAUUUUUUUGCUGUUUAGUUCUGAAAUUUGAUAAUUGUGUAGAACCUCAUCCAUAUCAAAAAUAUAGAACAUUUCCACCCCACCUCCCCCACCAAAAUUCCUUCAUGCCGUUCUCCCUUUGUAGACAACCAUCUUCUCUAGGCUUAACCCCUGACAAACCGAUUUAUUCUCCAUUCUUAAAUUUUUCCUUUUUUAGAAUGUUAUAUUAAUGAAAUUGCACAUUACGUAUUCUGUGGAAUCAGGCUUUUUCCACUUAGCAUAAUACAUCCAUGUUGCAGUAUGUAGCAAUAGUCCAUUUGGUUUUAUUGAUGAAUAGUAUUUCAUUGUAUAGAUGUACAGCAGUUCAUCCAUUUACCAUCUGUAGGACAUUUAAGUUGUUUCCAGAUUCUGGAGAUAAUGAAUAAAAUUGCUAUAAAUAUCCA